AGUAACACGUGAGUAACCUGCCCCAGAGUGGGGGACAACAGUUGGAAACGACUGCUAAUACCGCAUAAGCCCACGGAACCGCAUGGUUCAGAGGGAAAAGGAGCAAUUCGCUUUGGGAUGGACUCGCGUCCGAUUAGCUAGAUGGUGAGGUAACGGCCCACCAUGGCGACGAUCGGUAGCCGGACUGAGAGGUUGAUCGGCCACAUUGGGACUGAGACACGGCCCAG
rnacentral:rRNA from 1 species